rnacentral:rRNA from 1 species
UACAGAGGUCUCAAGCGUUGUUCGGAUUCAUUGGGCGUAAAGGGUGCGUAGGCGGCGCGGUAAGUCGGGUGUGAAAUCUCGGAGCUUAACUCCGAAACUGCAUUCGAUACUGCCGUGCUUGAGGACUGGAGAGGAGACUGGAAUUUACGGUGUAGCGGUGAAAUGCGUAGAUAUCGUAAGGAACACCGAUGGCGAAGGCAGGUCUCUGGGCCACUACUGACGCUGAGAAGCGAAAGCAUGGGGAGCGAACAGG